rnacentral:rRNA from 1 species
UACGUAGGGUCCGAGCGUUGUCCGGAAUUACUGGGCGUAAAGAGCUCGUAGGUGGUUUGUCGCGUUGUUCGUUAAAACUCACAGCUCAACUGUGGGCGUGCGGGCGAUACGGGCAGACUAGAGUACUGCAGGGGAGACUGGAAUUCCUGGUGUAGCGGUGGAAUGCGCAGAUAUCAGGAGGAACACCGGUGGCGAAGGCGGGUCUCUGGGCAGUAACUGACGCUGAGGAGCGAAAGCGUGGGGAGCGAACAGG